UCAAAAGGUAUAAAAGACUAUGUAUCCCAGCAAAAUAUCAUCGUUUGAAAAUUUCACUAUAGAAUGUGCCGCUCCUCCUGAAAACGACCUGUGUUUAUCAUUUUUAAACGAAGAAUUAUUCGGACAGUGUCACCCGAUAGUUGAUCCGCUCAAAUAUGUCGAUUUAUGUCAUAAUUUCACUUGUAGUGGAGUCGAUCAUUGCUAUGCUUUGGAAUCUUACGCGUCAGAAUGCCAGAAAAAUGCAAUUUGUUCCCAAUGGCGGUCUGCUAACUUAUGUCCCUAUGUUUGUCCGGAAGGAUUGGUUUACGAAGCUUUUGUAGCAUUGGAUGCGAAAUUACUUGCGAUAACAACCUACAUAAACAGUUCAAGAAAGAUUUGCUGAUGUUUUCCUUGAGGCUUGAAGAAUGAUCGACAUUUUCCUAAAAAAUCAGACUUUUCGACUUUUCGAGAUUUUCAUUUUUUUUCAAGCAUGUAAAGAUGACGAUAGUGUUUUUUUAAAAAAAAAUUAUUUUUCUUACAUAAAUACGGCUUUUGCGCUGGGAGGUGGCAAUUUUGAGUGGGGGGGGGGCACAUGCGGCGCCUUGUGCUUAAUAGGGGCGUUCAAACGCUCUUAGCUACAAAAUUUACAGAAAACGAGAAAAAUUAGAAUUUUUGAGCACUCUCAUGAAUGAGUUAUGAAAGACUCAGAAUGGACUGCAGAAUGCAGGCUUCUGUAUACUUACCUAAUAGAAUUUUACAGCAUACCUAUAUUAUAAAAAAUGUUUAGAUUUUCAGUAUUUUCUGUAGCUCUCCUUAGAUUGCUGUAAGCGCUUGAACACCCCUAUUCUUGAUAUUAUGAUCAGGUACCUGUUGAAAAUAUGGAAUGUUUGCUGGAACACUGAUUGAGUGAAAAUGAGAAAAAAAGUGGAAAUUUCAAGUUUUACUGCGUUGUAUCAAAAAUACAUUCUGACUUUUUUGUCAAAUUUUUGAAAACUUUUGGAAAAUCCCCAUUGAAUUCCUGAAAUUAGAUCCUACAUCAGAUAUACCUUCUGCCACACAGCGUUCUG